UCCUGGUUAGCUUAGUUGGUCGAGCGCUCCACUGGAAAAGGAGAGGCCCCUGGUUCGGUGCCAGGACCAGGCG
rfam:Ixodes scapularis strain Wikel colony gcontig_1108378455812, whole genome shotgun sequence.